UCUCUGGCAUCUUGAAUUUAGGGCCCUUCAGUUUCGCAUCUGGACCUUCAAUAUUCACAUCUGGAACAUCAACGUCCACCUUGGGUCCUGAGACGUCAAGGUCAGCCUUGGGCAGGUUCACAUCCACAUCUGGGCCCUCUCCUUUGAAGCCAGGCAUGCUGAACUUGGGCAUUUUCACCUUGGGCAUCUUCAGGUGCCAGUCUGGGCCAUGAACAUCCACAUCUGGGGCAUCAAUGUCCAUUUUGGGUCCUUUGAUGUCAACAUCUGGCACUUUCAUUUCACCUUCUACCUUGGGCACAGACACCUCCACAUCUGGGGCAUCAAUGUCCAUUUUGGGUCCUUUGAUUUCAACAUCUGGCACUUUCAUUUCACCUUCUACCU
rnacentral:lncRNA from 1 species